CCCAUGUCCCUGAGCUGGAACCACCUCGAAAGCCAAAUGCUGAGCCGGUGCUGUACUGCGACCUACCUGAUGCCUGGAACGGGGUGCAGCAGCAGAGAUCUGGGGCCACAGAGACAAAGACUUGACCUUCCUGGGUCUGGCCCCAGAGAAUGGUGCCACCUUCCUGGCUACAAACAUGCUUCCUACACCCUGCCGGGUAACAGCAGGACCAGCCCCAGGGACGACCAAUUACCUGAAGUGAAUGAAGCCAGCUCCCACACCUGUGUAUAACC